AUUGAACGCUGGCGGCACGCCUUACACAUGCAAGUCGAACGGCAGCACGGGUGCUUGCACCUGGUGGCGAGUGGCGAACGGGUGAGUAAUACAUCGGAACAUGUCCUGUAGUGGGGGAUAGCCCGGCGAAAGCCGGAUUAAUACCGCAUACGAUCUACGGAUGAAAGCGGGGGACCUUCGGGCCUCGCGCUAUAGGGUUGGCCGAUGGCUGGUUAGCUAGUUGGUGGGGUAAAGGCCUAACAAGGCGACGAUCAGUAGCUGGUCUGAGAGGACGACCAGCCACACUGGGACUGAAACACGGCCCAAACUCCUACGGGAGGCAGCAGUGGGGAAUUUUGGACAAUGGGCGGAAACCUGAUCCAGCAAUGCCGCGUGUGUGAAGAAGGCCUUCGGGUUGUAAAGCACUUUUGUCCGGAAAGAAAUCCUUGGCCCUAAUACGGUCGGGGGAUGACGGUACCGGAAGAAUAAGCACCGGCUAACUACGUG
rnacentral:rRNA from 1 species